GGUUUAGGGUUUAGUGAUUAAGAUUUAGGGUUUAGUAUUUGGAAGGUGGGGGUUGAGGUUUGGGUUUAGUGACCGUAUUAUGUAUGUUCCAUUUGACGAUUAAUAAAGAAUGUUCUUUUUUGCUCACCAAUUUUUACUAUACUAUGUAUUUUGCUCCAUUCUAUUUGGUUUUAGAGUCUAUACUUGGGUUUAGGGUUUAGUAUUUAGAAGGUGAGAGUUUAGGUUUGGGUUCAGUGAUAGCAUUUUUGAGUUUAGUAUUCAAAAGUUAGGUCUGAGUUUAGCAUUGAGGAGUUGUGUGUUGGAUUGGAGUCCUAUACUAUUCAAAAAUUAAGUUUGGAUUUAGUUUAAUAUUACAUAAUAUUAUAUACUAUUUUCAAAUUUUGAUAAUGGGGUUAAGGUUUAUAUUUGGGUUUAGGGUUCAUUAAUUAGGGUUUAGGGUUUAGUAUUUAGAUGAAAGGGUGGUGUUUAAUGUUUAGGGUUUAGUAUUUAGGAGUUGAGGUUUGGAGUUUUAGUAUUUACUAGAUGUGAGUGGAUUUUGAAUCAUAUUAAUUUUAGUUAUAUGGUAUAAAAAAUCAGAUGCAUAUUUAUGUGUUAAACAAAAGUAUGGUUUUGGUUGUAUUACGUAUGAUAAUUAAUUGUGGGGUGUCAAAUUGUUGAUGUCAUCAGUUUCUCUCUCUAUUACUGGCAACUUGAAUAAAAAAAGGGUAGUACCGGAUAGAAGUUGACAUAAUUGUUAUGGACUUAAUAAUGUCAAAAUCAAUGCUCUGCACUUAAUUUCAUUUUCAAAUUUGGUCAUUUGGCAAAUUCACCCUAAU
rnacentral:lncRNA from 1 species